rnacentral:rRNA from 1 species
UAUUGGACAAUGGGUUAGCGCCUGAUCCAGCCAUCCCGCGUGAAGGACGACGGCCCUAUGUGUUGUAAACUUCUUUUGUACAGGGAUAAACCUACCCUCGUGAGGGUAGCUGAAGGUACUGUACGAAUAAGCACCGGCUAACUCCGUGCCAGCAGCCGCGGUAAUACGGAGGGUGCAAGCGUUAUCCGGAUUUAUUGGGUUUAAAGGGUCCGUAGGCGGAUCUGUAAGUCAGUGGUGAAAUCUCACAGCUUAACUGUGAAACUGCCAUUGAUACUGCAGGUCUUGAGUAAGGUAGAAGUGGCUGGAAUAAGUAGUGUAGCGGUGAAAUGCAUAGAUAUUACUUAGAACACCAAUUGCGAAGGCAGGUCACUAUGUCUUAACUGACGCUGAUGGACGAAAGCGUGGGGAGCGAACAG